UACGUAGGGGGCAAGCGUUGUCCGGAUUUAUUGGGCGUAAAGAGCGUGUAGGCGGUUUUACAGGUCCGCUGUGAAAACUCGAGGCUCAACCUCGAGAUGUCGAUGGAAACCGUCUGGCUAGAGUCCGGAAGAGGAGUGUGGAAUUCCUGGUGUAGCGGUGAAAUGCGCAGAUAUCAGGAAGAACACCUAUGGCGAAGGCAGCACUCUGGGACGGUACUGACGCUGAGACGCGAAAGCGUGGGGAGCGAACAGG
rnacentral:rRNA from 1 species